rnacentral:rRNA from 1 species
UGGGGAAUUUUGGACAAUGGGGGAAACCCUGAUCCAGCCAUCCCGCGUGUGCGAUGAAGGCCUUCGGGUUGUAAAGCACUUUUGGCAGGAAAGAAACGUCAUGGGUUAAUACCCCGUGAAACUGACGGUACCUGCAGAAUAAGCACCGGCUAACUACGUGCCAGCAGCCGCGGUAAUACGUAGGGUGCAAGCGUUAAUCGGAAUUACUGGGCGUAAAGCGUGCGCAGGCGGUUCGGAAAGAAAGAUGUGAAAUCCCAGAGCUCAACUUUGGAACUGCAUUUUUAACUACCGGGCUAGAGUGUGUCAGAGGGGGGUGGAAUUCCGAGUGUAGCAGUGAAAUGCGUAGAUAUGCGGAGGAACACCGAUGGCGAAGGCAGCCUCCUGGGAUAACACUGACGCUCAUGCACGAAAGCGUGGGGAGCAAACAGG